CCGAGUCGACUCCAAGAGAAUCCGAGUCGACUCGAGGGAGUAAACCUGAAAGAAAGAUCUCUGGAAUCCUGAGAAUGAGUCGUCUCCAGAGGGCCGAGUCAUCUCCGAAUACUGGUGAGUCGACUCCAAGUUUGGCCGAGUCGACUCCAGAACGGGACAGCACUUUUAUUCAAAUCCUGAACAGUGGGCGAGUCGUCUCCAGCAAAGCAUGAGUCGACUCCAGCAACAGCCGAGGCGACUCCAGAUCGAGCAAGUCGACUCUGAUCCCAACGGACACAUUGUCAGGAGUUGCAGAUUGUGCAGAACGGCUCUAAAGUUGUGUCUAAUGGCUAGUUUUCAAAGGGGAUUGCUUAAAUAGCCAGAGUGAACAGUAAUAG
rnacentral:lncRNA from 1 species